AUACCCCGCUUCCAGGAAAAGCCUCUAAGCUCUAGAUUAUCAUUAAUCGUACCCCAAACCGACACAGGUGGUCAGGUAGAGAAUACUCAGGCGCUUGAGAGAACUCGGGUGAAGGAACUAGGCAAAAUGGUGCCGUAACUUCGGGAGAAGGCACGCUGGCAUUAGGUGAAGUGGUUUACCCAUGGAGCUGAAGCCAGUCGCAGAUACCAGCUGGCUGCAACUGUUUAUUAAAAACACAGCACUGUGCAAACACGAAAGUGGACGUAUACGGUGUGACGCCUGCCCGGUGCCGGAAGGUUAA
rnacentral:rRNA from 1 species